rnacentral:rRNA from 1 species
ACGGAGGGUGCAAGCGUUGUUCGGAAUUAUUGGGCGUAAAGCGCGUGUAGGCGGUUUGGUAAGUCAGAUGUGAAAGCCCUGGGCUCAACCCAGGAAGUGCAUUUGAUACUGCCUUACUCGAGUAUGGGAGAGGAGAGUGGAAUUCCCAGUGUAGAGGUGAAAUUCGUAGAUAUUGGGAGGAACACCCGUGGCGAAGGCGACUCUCUGGACCAAUACUGACGCUGAGACGCGAAAGCGUGGGGAGCAAACAGGAUUAGAUACCCUGGUAGUCCACGCCGUAAACGAUGAGAACUAGGUGUAGCGGGUAUUGACCCCUGCUGUGCCGUAGCUAACGCAUUAAGUUCUCCGCCUGGGGAGUACGGCCGCAAGGCUA